rnacentral:rRNA from 1 species
CCUACGGGUGGCAGCAGUGAGGAAUAUUGGUCAAUGGACGAGAGUCUGAACCAGCCAAGUAGCGUGAAGGAUGACUGCCCUAUGGGUUGUAAACUUCUUUUAUAUGGGAAUAAAAUGUUCCACGUGUGGGAUUUUGUAUGUACCCUAUGAAUAAGGAUCGGCUAACUCCGUGCCAGCAGCCGCGGUAAUACGGAGGAUCCGAGCGUUAUCCGGAUUUAUUGGGUUUAAAGGGAGCGUAGGUGGAUUGUUAAGUCAGUUGUGAAAGUUUGCGGCUCAACCGUAAAAUUGCAGUUGAAACUGGCAGUCGUGAGUACAGUAGAGGUGGGCGGAAUGCGUGGUGUAGCGGUGAAAUGCUUAGAUAUCGCGAAGAACUCCGAUUGCGAAGGCAGCUCACUGGACUGCAACUGACACUGAGGCACGAAAGUGUGGGUAUCAAACAGGAUUAGAUACCCUUGUAGUC